UACAGAGGGUGCAAACGUUGUUCGGAAUUACUGGGCGUAAAGGGCGCGUAGGCGGCCUUCUAAGUCAGACGUGAAAUCCCCCGGCUUAACCUGGGAACUGCGUCUGAUACUGGAGGGCUUGAGUAUGGGAGAGGGAUGUAGAAUUCCAGGUGUAGCGGUGAAAUGCGUAGAUAUCUGGAGGAAUACCGGUGGCGAAGGCGGCAUCCUGGACCAUUACUGACGCUGAGGCGCGAAAGCUAGGGGAGCAAACGGG
rnacentral:rRNA from 1 species